ACGCAUCCACAGCCUCUCUUCACGUAGUCUUUUCCCUCCUUAGAGCAGUGGUUCUCACCCUUCCUAAUGCUGUGACCCUUUAAUACAGUUCUUCAUGCUGUAUGACCCCAACCAUAUGAUUAUUUUUGUUCCUACUCCAUAACUGUAACUUUGCUACUGUUAUGAAUCCUAAUGUAAAUAUCUGCUUUUUCCAAUGGUCUUAGGCGAUCCCUGCAAAAGGGUCAUUCCACCUUCAAAGGAGUCACACCCCACAGGUUGAGAAAUGCUGCCUCAAAGGAACACUUCUGCUUGUACAAAUGGCUUACCAGCUUAGACUAUACACUGGAUCAGCCUAGAAGGAGCUCUCUUUGGCCAUGGGGGAGAAAAAUCAGCUUACAAGUCUGUUUACCCAUGAACUGAUAGAGCAUUUUGAUCUCAUUUUAUCAGCAAUCACUACCACUGUUAGGAAAUUGGUAUUUGUUAACUUAAUAGAGUUUACAUAUUUCUUUUUUAUUCUACUGUUUUUAUUAGUUGGUUUUUGUUUUUGUUUUUGAGUUAACAUGUAAGAUAAUAGAUUUUUGGUUUUUUUGGGACAAGGUCUAUGAACCUAAGGCUGGCCUUAAACUUACUGUAUAGCUGAGGCCACCCUUGAACUCCUAAUCCUCCUGCCUCUACCUCCUAUGUGCUGGAAUUCUUGGCAUGUGCUAUGGAUUUCAUUUUAUCCUUUUUCUUACGCACUCUGUUCUUAUUUAUCCCUGCCCUCUAGUUCUUUCCACUGUUCCCUGCCCUCUUCUUGUGGUCCCAUUUCCUAUCCCAUAGCCCCGUUCUGCCUUCAUGACACAUGUAUUCUAUUCAUGUCACACAUAUUCCAUUACCUUUUCUUUUUUUCCUCAUUGAGAGCUCUUCUUUCCUGUUAUGCUCCCUUUUCUAGCUUCAUGACCUACAUUAAUAUGUGUGCAUAUGUACUCAUGCACACACAAUUGAAAUGUAGGAUCCACAUAGGAGGGAAGAUAUGAAGUAUUUGGUUUUUUGGUUUGGCUUACUUCAUUCAACAUAAUGACUUCCAUGUGUAUCAGUUUUCCUGAAAAUGUCAUGGUUUCAUUUUUAUUGUGGCUGAAUAAAACUCCAUUGUAUGUAUGUACUACAUGUUGUUUCUCCAUUCUCUUGAUAGACAUUGAGACUGGUUCCACUUCUUAGCUGUUACAAUUAGUGCAGCAAUAAGCAUGUAUGUACAAGUAGCUCUUGUGGUAGGAAUUGAGUACUUUGUUUAUAUUUCCCCAGGUUUGCUAUAGUGAGUUACCACACCUCUCCCUGGAAAUAGCAUUGAUCUCUUAGAAUUAACUGAUGGUACCGCUUGCUGAGAGCUAGUCAUAGAGUCUGGACAAUAAAUUUGUUUUUGUUGAUGACUAUAUCUAUUCCAGAGUGUUGUCAUUUAGAAGAUAUUUUUUUCAUGUGAUUUCAGGUGGAGUACCAGUGUGAAGGUUUUCUUGAAAAGAAUAAAGAUACUGUUUUUGAAGAACAAAUUAAAGUCCUUAAGUCAAGCAAGGUAAAUUUACUCUUAUCAAGAUAUGAUCCAUAAAAUGUUAAUUGCUUCAGCACUCGUCUUUUAAUACUAAUUGUGAUUUUUCUAACAAAAUCAGUUUUAUUUACAGAUUAUAAUUUGUCAAAAUAUAACACGUAACACGUGUCAGGUCCUAUAUAGAGUACUGUUCAAAUGUUGACAGUUUGAUUCUUAUAGUGAGGUAGCAUUGUAUUAGUCACAUGUCACCCAUGAGGCAGCUGAGGUGUCGGGGACUGAUGGCUGGUAAGUUCCCAAAUUAGGUUGAGCUCAGGCUGCCUUGCUUAGAACCUGUUCUUAACUUAACACUCAGCUAUGUGGUCUUUCAGCUCCCUGUGAAAUCACUGUCUCCACAGUGGUUCUACAAUGAGAGUCUUGCCAGUGACUGCAUUCUUUGUGGGAGACUCAGAGAAGGUUUUUCUGCUGUGUUAUUUUGAGGGAUUCGCUAGAGAUGUGGCCUUAUUGCACUCCAUCCUAGUGGAGACUAACUCUGGGUCAUCAGAGGUGUGGUUUCAGAUGUGACCCAAAAUGUUUAAAUUAUGUUUUCAUAAGAACAAAUACUAGAACCACUGCUCUCUACUAGGAAUAAGAAUAUUCCAGAUGGUAAGGAAAUAUGGUGUUAUAUUGCUUAUUAAGCUAGUCUGUACCUCCAGCUGUUGACCUUUCUCUGGAAAGGAUGAAGAGGGGCACAGUCAGCCUACAGGAGCAAACCAGGAAGCUAGUUACUUGAUUCUGUAAAGACCUGCUAAAAAGUAAAAAUAUUCCUGUGGCCCUUAUAGGUUAUUGAUUGGCACUCUUGUUUUUCUGGCUUAUUUCAAGAGAAUCCUCUUAGCAUCUAUAGAAUAGUGUAUGGACAAUAGGAUUCUUGUUUUUAAAAUAACUUUUUAUCAUCAAUUGUGUUAAUAAUAUAAAGAUCACAUAAAGACCAACAGUAGUCUAGUUUUAACCCUCAGAGAUGAGUCAGAUAUUCAUAGAAAAAUCAUUUAUUUACCCUUAACAAGAAUUGAAUAUUAAUACUUUUUAACUUAUAAAAAAGUAAUGUGCAAGGCAAACUUUCUUUUACAGUGACUAUUGUAAGUGUGGCUCAGAGGUUUUAUCAUUUUAAUCUAUAACAUAAGCAUGACAUUCUGUUAAUAUUUGGUCAAAAUAAUUUAGCUAAACAGAGUACCGGUUUUCAUUCUAGAUGUACCCAUAAUCAGCUCUGUCUUCAUUCUGAUUUAAUUUCCUAUUUGUCUAGUGGGUCCAGUCAUUAGAAGUUAGCAAUGUAUUGGGAAGAGGCAAUCUGUGUUCCAUUGUUGCUGUUGAAGUGGGGAUAGUUUGUGGUUUCCUUGAGUUCAAAGGCUGUUCUUGUUCUCAGUCUUUUCAGCAGUUCAACCAAAAGACCUGAACUUUAUCUUCUCUCUGAACCUGGUGUAAAGCAGGUGUAAUGGAGAAACCAGUUUGUUCUCUUGGAAGGACUGAUUCAUUUGUGUUUGCACUGUGUGUUCUGAACAGAUUUUUGGUGAUAAUAACAAUGUAAAAUCUAUUUGUGUCUGUUUUAGAUAUAUUUUCCUUAAAAUGUCAAUUAGAGAUAGCCAGGUAGAAAUGUCAUGGGAAGUGGGGAAUGAAGCCAGGUCAAAGGGAAAAGCAGAGUAGGAAGUAGGAAUUCUGUAGGCUUCAGAACUUCAUGCUUGUUAAAGCCAUGAGACCUGGUAUGAUUGCUCAAGAGAGUAUGUAGAUAAAAACUGCUGUAGCCAGAUAGUCCAAUUAACAGAGGCUGCCAGAGGAGGUGCCAGG
rnacentral:lncRNA from 1 species